GGAAGCCGUUAUGUGGCUCUUAAAUUUUUCUGAUUUUUAAUAGAAAAAGUGAUUUUUCUGUGCACUGUUUGAGUCUAUUCUGUUUCUUAGGGCUUGUUUCGUCUCUUGAAAAUGAGUGUUAUUAAUAAUACAGACCCAGUAGGUACCUAAAGAACAUCUAAAAGAAGAGACUUGAUCACUUCUUAUAUAAUUCUGAUGUUUCGCCAUUAUUCUGGUUUACGAGAUUGGUGUUCUAUUAUCCGAUUAAAAUUUUCUGCAACUAAUCAAUGGAUAUAUACAGUUCCAGAGCAGUACAUUAAUUUAUCCUUUUCACGAAUAUUUUACCAACAAUGCAUCAGGACUUCUAAGUAUAUCUAAAAUUUUAUUUCUUUUGGGUAAAUAUAUUUUCACUGGUUUUUAA